rnacentral:tRNA from 2 species
GCCGGCGUGGUGAAACGGUAGACACAGGGGACUUAAAAUCCCUAGGCCCAACGGCCGUGCCGGUUCGAUUCCGGCCGCCGGCACCA